AGAGGUGUUCGCCGGAAGGCGAAUGAAAAGGGAAUCCGGUGUGAAUCCGGAGCGAUGCAGUCACUGUGUACGGGAGCGGCCUGCGGUCCACUGGGAAACUGGGAAGGGCAGUGUCGCGAUGAGCGAAGUCAGGAGACCUGCCUCUGCG
rnacentral:ncRNA from 1 species